AGUCGAGCGGAACGAUGGGAGCUUGCUCCCAGGCGUCGAGCGGCGGACGGGUGAGUAACGCGUAGGAAUCUACCCAGUAGUGGGGGAUAGCCCGGGGAAACUCGGAUUAAUACCGCAUACGCCCUACGGGGGAAAGGCCGGGAUCUUCGGACCGGUCGCUAUUGGAUGAGCCUGCGUUGGAUUAGCUAGUUGGUAGGGUAAAGGCCUACCAAGGCGACGAUCCAUAGCUGGUCUGAGAGGAUGAUCAGCCACACUGGAACUGAGACACGGUCCAGACUCCUACGGGAGGCAGCAGUGGGGAAUAUUGGACAAUGGGCGCAAGCCUGAUCCAGCCAUGCCGCGUGUGUGAAGAAGGCUCUAGGGUUGUAAAGCACUUUCAGUAGGGAGGAAGGCCAGAGUGUUAAUAGCGCUUUGGAUUGACGUUCCCUACAAAAGAAGCACCGGUUAACUCCGUGCCAGCAGCCGCGGUAAUACGGAGGGGGCAAGCGUUAAUCGGAAUUACUGGGCGUAAAACCCGCCUAGGCGGUUUGUUAAGUGUGAUGGGAAAGCCCAGGGGUUCACCCUUGGGAACUGCAUCCCAUACUGGCAAAGUUAAAAAACGGAAAAGGGGGGGAAGAAAUCCCUGUGUUCCCGGUGAAAAGGCUUAAAAAAUUGGGAGAAAAACCAUUGGCGGAAGGGGGGCCCCCUGGAUUCAUACUUGACCCUGAAGGGGGAAAGCGGGGGGGAGCAAAACAGGAUUAAAAACCCUGG
rnacentral:rRNA from 1 species